GAGGGAAGCAAGAAGAACCACCCCUGCUCCUCAUCUGCCUGCUACCGCAACCUGCAGCUCCUCAUCCAACACCUCGCCGCCUGCCCCCGCAGGAAAGCCUGCCCCCGCUGCUGCCGCAUGUUGCAGCUCCUCCGCCUCCACUCCGCCAUCUGCGACGACAGCACGCAACAGGCUUGCCGCAUCCCUCUUUGCUCGUAAGUCUCUACGCUGCUAUCGUAAAAGAAUUUGUUAGUUAAUGCUUUUAUCAUCCGCCUACGUUCAGGUGUAUCUGAGUCAUUUGGCUUUCAUAUGACUGAUGAUUGUUUAGGAAACAUUGGGAGGGAGUAUGCUGAGUUGGUGGUUGAUUGAUUUUAUAGUCUAUUUGGUACCACUUCUGUAUCUGUUCUCAGCAGCAGCAGCAGCAGUAUCAAGGAGAAAUUCUGGAGCUUCUGCUGUAGCGAGAAACUGAAAUUAGAUUUUCAACGUCAAAAACGAAUUACGUAAUGCUUCUUCUAAUAGCACGACAUCUAUUGGCAGUGUAAUCGCUCUAAUGUUUGGGGAGUUUGACAUAUUUUUCCUUUUCUUUUUGUUAGAGAACAAACUUAACCACUGAUGCCCUGCUUGUUGGGUUUUCCGUCUAUACCUGCAGGCACUUCAAGCUGAGAAUGCAGCAGCAGAAGGAAGAUUCUCAGCAGCAGCAGAAGGAAGGGAAAGAAGAGGACGACACGUGGCAGCUUCUGGUGAAGAAGGUGAAGGUUGCUCGAGUUAUGUCCUCCUUCUCUAAGAGGAAGGGACAGGAAGGAGUUCAUGAGCAAUUCGCCCUUUGCUCUACUACUGCAAAGACCAGUGACUAAUGUCAUGGAAAUUUUCUUUUUCCUUUUGUUCUUUCCCCCCUGUUAGUAAGGAAUUAAGAUGCGCCUUCCUUAUAAAGAGAGCAGCUCGAUGCACGUAUAUGCAUGCCAAUCUUCUAGAGAGAGAGUUCUUAGCUUGUUAAAAAAAGGAGCAUGCAGCUGUUAUAGAAGUGAAACUUGUAUUAGAUAAUAGUUUGGUGUGUGUAUAUGUAUGUCUAUCUUCUAGAGAGAGAAAGAGUUUUUAGCUUGUAAAAAUGGGGCAGGCAGCUGUUAUAGAAGUGGAACUUGUAUUAGAGAAGAGUUUGGUGUGUGUAUAUGUAUGUCUAUCUUCUAGAGAGAGAGAGAAAGAGUUCUUAGCUUGUUAAAAAAUGGUAGGUAGCUGUUAUAGAAGUGGAACUUGUAUUAGAGAGGAGUUUGGUGUGUGUAUAUGUAUGUCUAUCUUCUAUAGAGAGAGAAAGAGUUCUUAGCUUGCAAAAAUGGGGCAGACAACUGUUAUAGAAGUGGAACUUGUAUUAGAGAGGAGCUUGGUGUGUAUAUGUAUGUCUAUAUUCUAGAGAGAGAGAGAAAGAGUUCUUAGCUUGCUAAAAAAGGGCAGUAGCUGUUAUAGAAGUAGAACUUGUAUUAAAAAGGAGUUUAGUGUGUUUAUGUAUGUCUAUCUUCUAGAGAGAGAGAAAGAGUUCUUAGCUUGCAAAAAUAGGGCAGACAGCUGUUAUAGAAGUGAAACUUGUAUUAGAGAGGAGCUUGGUGUGUGUCUAUGCAUGUCUAUCUUCUAGAGAGACAGAAAGAGCUCUUAACUUGCAAAAAAAGGGCAGGCAGCUAUUAUAAAAGUGGAACUUGUAUUAGAGAGGAGCUUGAUGUGUGUAUAUGUAUGUUUAUCUUUUAGAGAGAGAGACUUCUUAGUUUAUAUAAAAAGGGGCAGGUAGCUGUUAUAGAAGUGGAAUUUGUAUUAGAGAGGAGCUUGGUGUGUAUAUAUGUAUGCCUAUCUUUCAGAGAGAAUCACUCCAGCUGUUAUAAAAGUGGAUCUUGUAUUAGCAUAAGAACAAUUAGUUACAUUUUGCAACUAACUUAAGAUAUAAUAUGCAAUAAGAAACUUAAGCUGAUCAUGAUUUUUAAAUAUAAUUGAUUCAUCGAAUGACGAACGUACAAAUGUCUUUUUGGAUGCUUAGCAUAGUAUUUCGCUUUUGUUUACUCAAGAGUGUUGCAGUAAUUCUUGCAAUUGAUAGCCGAAAAAUGCGAUCAAUAUCUAUAACUAUAAUAUAUAAUAAAAAUAAAUGGGCUAAAAGACUCAAUUUUUAAUAAAAAUAAAAUAAUCUUUAUUUUUAUAAAAUAAGUUAUUAUUAAAUAAUUUAUUUUACCAUCCAAAUGAACCUUAAAAUUUACAUUUCCUCCGCAUUUCCUGGUAAUGAAGCUGACCCUAGUUUUCUCCAUGCAAAUCAGGUUAGAGUCGAUAGAUCAGAAUGUCGUAAUCAAAUUACAAUCUUUGAAGUUUCCCUAAUGAAAGAGAUCUCUAAGUUAAGAAAUUCGAGUCUAGUCUACAGUAAUUAAAGAUUAUUUGACGUGUAGAAUUAGGUAUGCAUGUCAGCAAUGACUAAGUUGAAAAAGUCCAUUAGUACGUUCUAUUAAUUUAAUUCAUCGUCACGCCUUUUACUUUAUGAACUUGACCACACGCCUAAUGACAGAUCAAUCACUCCAGAGAUCAUUUACGCGCUGAUGAAACAAUUUUUAUUUCAUUUAGCUGCUGAUCGCAAUUUUGUCCGAUGAAGCCGCCUUAGGAGGACCGGAAUUCGAGAAUUACGCAGGAGUAAAACUUAAUAAAGAGGUUUUCUUACUCCGAACUAUAACCGCCUAUUUGGUACAUUUGACUGAAAAUUGAGUUCCUAAUUUUCAACAAUUUAGUACGGUAGUCCAACGCAAAAUUCACGAAGUUUAAGUGAAGCCAAAGUAACUUCUGCCGUGAUCAAGAAGGACACGAGCCAACAGCUCAUCCGUGGCAGCAUUAGACCGACGGGCCACAGACGAGCAUCCUUGGCUUGGGGCAAAGCUUUGGCAGAGAGCGGAAAAGGUUCUGGUCCUUCACAGCCUCGGGUCGGGAUACAGCACGGCACGGAUACUAUAAUACUAUUGCCAGGCCAGACCGGCCUGAGCCUCUGGGCUGUGCUGGGCUGCUCCUCUGUGGCCCGACGGCCUGGCACGGCGGGAGGCCGAUCUUCAUACUUGGGAUAUUUUUUGAAUAUCCCAUCAACCAAUAUCUCAAUAAAUUCAUGGACCACAAUUUUAUGGAUGUACAGAUACAGCAGAUUUUAGUGUGUUCAGAUCGAGAUAUUUGGACAGCUUGCAACAACUAGUACUAUUUUUUUUUUUUUUUCCCCUCAAAAAAGAAAUAAUACUAAGGUACAUUUUAAUUUAUUAUGAUAAAAAUAUUAGAGGUUGAGAGGAUACCACCCUCCAUAAGUUUAGUCGAGUCUCUUUCUAAGCAGCGUCAGUUCUGACAUUUACGACUAAACUUCUAAUAGCCUGAUGAUAAUGUACACGUAACCUAUACACAUAACGUCCUAUCUUAAGAUUAUGACGUUCCAACUUGUGUCUGUGCCCAUAAGAUUUUUUCUUGGGCCAAGUGUUUAGAAUAGAUUUUUGAAAUAAAAGAAAUAAGGAAAGAAAAAAAAGAAAAAGACAUUGAGGUCGCUUCUGGCCCCAGCUUUUCAUAAAAUCUACACGCGCCGUGCUCGACCCGAAGGGACCAUGGAUUGCAGUGGCGAUAGAACAAUCUAAAUCUAAGCAUCCAACCCAUUUCAUUCAAUUUGAUCCUAGCCGUUGGAUUUCAUAGUGCUAAUUAAUGUUGCCAAAGAAUUAUUCGUUAAUUACUCGUAUUCUUUUUUUGUUAAUUGCCCGAAUCUUUUUUUUUGAAAAAUAAAUUUUCUCUUAAAAUAGUUAGUGUUGUGGGUUUAGAUCGAAAGAUUUAGACAUGACAGAAUGACCGGAUGGUCCACAGCUAGUGCAGUGCUCUAAGCAAUAAUUUAACAUUGCUUAAUUUGUCGUAUAGCCUGGCUAUUUAUACAUUCCAAAAAAAAAAUAAAUUUUACAACACAAGUUGUGUCGAUGCGUGUGGCUAUUUAUACAUUCCAAAAAAAUAAUAAAUUUUACAACACAAGUUGUGUCGAUGCGUGUGGCUAUUUAUACUUUCCAAAAAGAAAAAAUUUACAAUACAAGUUGUGUCGAUACGAGUGGCUAUUUAUACUUUCCAAAAAAAAAAAAAUUUACAACACAAGUUGUGUCGAUACAUGUUGUUCACAAAAUAAUAACAGUAAAUAUUUAUCUUUGUCACGCCCAUAUACUAUUAACUAUUUACUAAUUUAUAAGAAAAGUAUUAUUUUUUUAGAGAGAUAGGUAGCUUGCUACCUGCUUCGUUUAUUUUGUUUAAAAAUAAACUUAGCUGGAAAUGUGAAUCAACUAGGAUUCGAAUCUGGAUCUCGGGUACCAACCACCAAGUCCUUUGCCACUUGUUCUAGGGACGGUCGGUAAAAAAAAAAAAAAGUAAAUUUUAAAUCGUGUCAUCACCUUACGGUAGGAAAAUUAUACUAUGCUGAUAUUUUGUUGGUACCACACAACGCAGCAGGAACUUAAAAUCUUUGGAUCCUUUACUUCUUUUAAUCAAAUUCCAUUGCAGGUAUUUGCAAGACAUUAGUAAGUAUAAAAAAAUGAUAAGAAAAUGUUGAGAAGAUAUCUUGCCACGUCGGUAUAAAAGACAAAAUUUCAAAUUUAAUAUUCAAUGAUAUGGAUUCAUUACAAAAAAUGCGACAGAAUAAUUUGCCAAAUAUAAAAAGAAAAGGAGCUUAAUUUGAAGGAUUUUACAAUUGUAUAUUUUCUAUUACAAAUCUCUAUAUAUUAAUAAAGUUUCAUUCCUCACUCGAUGUGAGAGGAAUUCACCAAUUUUAAAUUUUCUUUAUGGUAUCAAAGCAGAAGGUCUUGAGUUUGAAUCACGCCAGGUUCCUAGCAUAUUAAUUUUCUCCUAUUUAAUUUAAGCCCACAUCAUAGGUCAACUAAAAAGUCUCGAAUUCAUGCGUGAAGGGGAGUGUAAACAUAACUGUGGCAAAGAAUUUAUACUGUGGUCCAAGGCCACUUAAGAGCCAAAAAAUCUUACUUUGAUCAGAGACAGGUUUGCCAAUAGCAUUUAAUUGAUCACAAAUCGACUUAAACUCUCGCAAAUAUGCAAAUAAGGAAGAUGUAUCAUUCUUUAUAUAUUGAAGUUUCGAAAGUAAUUCAAAUUCACGAGCCUGCGAAUUUGGAGAAAAUGUAUAUGCAAGAGCUUGCCAUACACCUGUUGAAGUCUUCACAUCUACAACAAGUCUCAGGACUUCUUCGGAGAGAGUUCUGGUGAUCCAAGUUUUCACUAGACGAUUCGUACGCGUCCAUGCUGUGAAAUCUGAAUUUUAAAUUUUGCUACUUUUGUCAGAUGAAGGUACUUCAUGAUGUGGUGGCUUUGAUUCUCCAGUGAUGAAACCAAGUAAAUCGCGACUCUCGAUUAAUGAUAAUACUUGUGUUUCCUACAGUAAAUAAUUGGCUGUGGUAUUAAUUUGAGAGAAAUGAAAUUAGCAACAUGGAGGUUGGAUAAAUAUGGAUAUUUGGAGGUUGAAGUCAGUAUCUUUGAGAAGGUGGUAGUCUUUCGGUAUGGCUCUGAUACCAUAAAGAAAAUUUAAAAUGAAUGAAUUCUUCUCACAUUAGGUGAAGGAAGAAAUUUUAUUAAUAUAUAGAGAUUUAUACAUGAAUGAAUAGAAAAUAUAUAAUUAUAAAAUCUUUCAAAUUAGGCUUUUUUUUUCUUUGUAUUUGACAAAUUAUCAUGUUGUGAUUUUUUUUUUAUAAUAAAUUUAUAUUAUUGAAUAUUAAAUUUAAAAUAUUGCCUUUCAUGGCCGGACAGUUGCAGUUGGUGCGGCCGGGAGGUGGGUCUGGGAGCUGAGCUGUCUGUUGUUUCGGAUCAGAACGGAGCCGCUGGCGUCCGCGUCAGCAGCUUCCGGGUCGGGCGGCUGGCAGCGGGGACGGAGUCGCUUCGGCGCUCCAANUCUCUCUCUCUCUCUCUCUCCCUCUCUAAUCGCCCCUUUGAGCCCCCCUUAAUAGCUUACGUCACUAAUGAAAUCAUCACCUACUAGCAAAGCCGGUUAGUCGGUGAGAGGACAAAUCGCAUUUAGACCCUCUGACCCUUCCGAAUGUUGCCAUUAUAGAUCCCUCUUGUAUUAAUCUAUAUUUUUUUUUCAAAUGUUGCCAUUAUAGAUCCCUCUUGUAUUAAUCUAUAUUUUUUUUUCAAAAAAAAAUAUAGUAAACCAUCUGUUCUAUUUUUUAAAAAAAAUAAAUUAAGUUAUAAAAAAAAGAAAGGUCGAGAGGGUGAGAUUGGACCCUAGAACAGUCUAUCACAGCUAGACCAAUCUUUACCGCAGAUUAUCCAAUCUCCUAUCCGAGUAAAUAUAUUGUUUACGAUCUGUAAAUAUGAUUUCUUUUGAUGUUUGAUUGUUCAGAAAUUCUGUUAUUUCUUUCUAACUAGAUCGUCCGCUACGAGGAUGUAAGCACGGUAAGUUUCUCACUUCUUCUUUGUAUGUUUUGAAUUUUUUUUGUUAUCUUUUAAAGAUCACGUUCUGGUUGUGCAAUGUGAGUAUAGAAGAAUAUCUUUAAAAUAAACUUAUAUGAGUAAGGCUUACUUUGUGAUGUAUUAAUAAGCUUAUAUGAUAUUGUUAGAAUGCGUGUGUUAGUAUAUCAGUUUUCUCCAUAUCAUCAGUAUUAAUAUAUUAUAAUAGUAUUUUGAAAAACUUACAGUAAUAUUUAAACUUUGAAUAGUCAUAUAAGUUUCUGUGUUUAUUUUAUUAGUUGACUACGAAAAUCAAUUUUCUUCUCAAUUGUUUCAAACUUUUUCUUUUUUCCUGUUAAUUUCCUGUCACCUCUAAACAUGCAAUUAAUUAAUUAAUAAAAACAUAUAAGGGUACAUAUGCAAAUUUCCCCCAGAUUAAAAUCAAGCCUACUGGUGGGGGCGGGUCCUUCUGCAGCCUUUUUGCCCUUCCCGCCAUUUCGGCUCCGCCUUUAUCUUUUAAGUUAAAUAUAAUAAAAUAAAUAAAUAAUCCAACUUUUUUCCCUUUUUUUUAAAAAUAUUUUUUAUUAUUUGAGUUACUUUGUCUUGGCCCCCACCCACUCUCUCUAUAUAUAUAGAGGCCAGAGGAAGGCCACAGUCCACAAUCAAAAGGAGAGGGAAAAAAAUCAUCACACGCAAACUCGCGGAGGAGAGAAAAAGGGAAAAGAGAGAAAAUUAAGUAGAGAGAUUCAUAGAAAAGAAAAAAAAAAAGAAAAAAAAAAAAAGAAGAUUUGUUUAGAAGAGAGAUGGACGCGAAGGGCGGUCGCGUCCAGAACGGAUUCCGACAGUGGCUGGAGGCGGGGAGCGACGCCAUCCCCGCUCCGGAUGUUCAAAUUUUGACCUCCGGUGGCCGCAAAAUUUCCGCCCAUUCUGCAGUUCUUGUGAGCACCCGAAACCUUCAAUUGAAAAAACAUUCAAAACUUUAUGUACUACAAUACAAUUAGAUACUCUCGAAUCGCAGAAGCUCACUGAGCACACAAUCGAUGUCUAAUCAUAUGCACUUUUUUUAAAAAGUAUUAAAUUUAUAUUUGUUUGUUUAUUUGUUUGUUUGUUUGUUUGUUUGUUUACAGGCCGCGGCGUCGCCAGUGAUGGAGAGUAUAUUGGAUCGGGCACAAAAGCGUGGAAAAUCGCGCAGGGUUAUUAGGAUUCUGGGAGUCCCCGAUGACGCUGUAAUGGCGUUUGUGCGGUUGAUCUACUCUUCUGGGUAUGUGUUCUUUUUUUUACCUUUUUUCCCUUCUUUUUUUUUUGGGGUUAAAUUGAUUAUAUUUAAAUAUUUAGUUAAAGAAAGGAAAAGUAAGUCUAAUGCAUUGAGGACCCUAUGUUUAAGGAGAAAUUAUUGCCCUGUAUCGUGAUGUAGUACCAUGCUCUGCUUUUAAUUAAAAAUAUUUUAAAUUUCGUUUGAUUCGGAUAUUAAUAAAAAUUAUUUAUUGUAGGAAUAGGUGCGAGUUCCAUUAUAAGCAAGAAUUAGAGUAAAUUUUUGUUUGUCAUUAUUUCUGAAAAUAAAAUAAAUAAUAUUUAAAUAGGUUUCAUUUGAUUCGGAUAUAAAUAUGAACUAUUUAUUGGAGAAAUAGUUACAAAUUCCUCUAUAUGCUGGAACUAGGGAGGGUUUUUUGGGAUUGUUUUUAAAAAUAAGAUAAAUAGUGUUUGAAUGGGUUCCGUUUGGUUCGGAUAUAAACAAGAACUACUUAUUAUAGGAAUAGAUACGAAUUCCGCGAUAAGCAAGAAUAAGGGUAAGUUUUUUUUUUGAAAUUAUUUUUGGGAAUAAAAUAAAUAGUGUUUGAAAAGACUUUGUUUGGUUCAGAACAGACAAGAACUAUUUAUUGUACGGAUAGGUAUAAGUUACGGUAUAAGCAGGAACUAGAGUAAGUUUUCAUUUGGGCUGAUGCACGGCUAAGCUGGUGCAUCGGGUGCUCGCAAUAAUUUCUCUUUGGACCCAUGUAAUCAUCAUGCUCAUCGUUAUCACAUGCACUGUUCGAAACUAAAGAAAAAAAAAUCAAGGGUCCAGAAUCUUUCUGAUGGCUCUGAGAAUUUCACAUUUCCCUGUCGAAAAUUAUUAUUUUUUAUUUUUUUUAAUAUUUAACUUAAUUCUUAGCUGGGGGUCCCACGCAACUCUUAUGUCGUCCCCUUCAUCCAAUCACAGCCCUCACACGGUCCAUUUCGUUCUAAUGAUGAUAGGCAUAAUAAUUGACUCAACACCACCGAGAAAUUUCGAGAUAUUUUUUUCGUGCUUCAGAUUUUUUUUUGGGGGUUCAUGUGCCACGAUGCAUACAUAAUGCAUAGUCACAAUAAUUUUAGUUUUUAUUUUUUUCACUUCAUUAAGGUAAUGAAGAGUACACAAAUUUUGGAUGUGACUGAAUAUCAAUGAAUAAUAAAAAAUAAAUUAAUCAAUCAAUAUAAGCAUUUUACACACCGUUUAUAAUAAAAUAUUAUAUUAAAUUUAAUCCGAAUGCUGAACUUAUGGCAUACUGAGUAGUACAAACGGAUCAUGUCAUGUCAAUCAGGUGCAUGUCGUUGGACGAGGAGGAGGAGAUGGGCAGGUACGGGCUGCACCUGCUGGUGCUGUCGCACGCGUACAGCGUGGGGUGGCUGAAGCGCGCGUGCGAGGUGGCGCUGGCGUUGCGGCUGACGGCGGAGGGCGUGGUGGACGUGUUGCUGCUGGCGCGGCAGUGCGAUGCCGCGCGGCUGUACCUCCGCUGCAUGAAGCUGCUGGCGAAGGACUUCGCCGCCGUCAAGAAGACCGAGGCCUGGCAGUUCCUCCAGGCCAACGACCCCUGGCUCGAGCUCGAAAUCCUCCAGUUCCUCCAGGAGGCCGAACUGGUACGUGACCAAAAUGUAUUAUGUUUGGUUUUGCCGUAGAAUAUAGUAAUUUUUGACAAUUCAUAUAAAUAAAUAAAUAGAUAGAUAAAAAGAUAUAAAAUUUAUCUGAAUGAUGAAUUAUUUUAAUAGAGAAAGAAGCGAGUUGGGCGCAAGCGGGCGUACCGGCGGGUAUAUGAAGAGCUGGGGGACGCGAUGGAGUGCCUGCAGCACAUGUACAUGGCCAGAGAGGGAAGCAAGAAGAACCACCCCUGCUCCUCAUCUGCCUGCUACCGCAACCUGCAGCUCCUCAUCCAACACCUCGCCGCCUGCCCCCGCAGGAAAGCCUGCCCCCGCUGCUGCCGCAUGUUGCAGCUCCUCCGCCUCCACUCCGCCCUCUGCGACGACAGCACGCAACAGGCUUGCCGCAUCCCUCUUUGCUCGUAAGUCUCUAUGCUGCUUU
rnacentral:lncRNA from 1 species